AGAGUUUGAUCAUGGCUCAGGACGAACGCUGGCGGCGUGCUUAACACAUGCAAGUCGAACGGUGAACCGGGCUUCGGCCCGGGGAUCAGUGGCGAACGGGUGCGUAACACGUGGGCAACCUGCCCCAGACACUGGGAUAACCCCGGGAAACCGGGGCUAAUACCGGAUACUCCGCUCGGACCGCAUGGUCCGAUCGGGAAAGCUCCGACGGUCUGGGAUGGGCCCGCGGCCUAUCAGCUUGUUGGUGGGGUAACGGCCUACCAAGGCGACGACGGGUAGCUGGUCUGAGAGGACGACCAGCCACACUGGAACUGAGAUACGGUCCAGACUCCUACGGGAGGCAGCAGUGGGGAAUCUUGCACAAUGGGCGAAAGCCUGAUGCAGCGACGCCGCGUGGGGGAUGAAGGCCCUCGGGUUGUAAACCCCUUUCGGCAGGGAAGAAGCGCAAGUGACGGUACCUGCAGAAGAAGCUCCGGCUAACUACGUGCCAGCAGCCGCGGUAAGACGUAGGGAGCGAGCGUUGUCCGGAUUCAUUGGGCGUAAAGCGCGCGUAGGCGGUUUGGUAAGUCGGAUGUGAAAUCCCGAGGCUCAACCUCGGGACUGCAUCCGAUACUGCCCGACUAGAGGUAGGUAGGGGAGAUCGGAAUUCCUGGUGUAGCGGUGAAAUGCGCAGAUAUCAGGAGGAACACCGGUGGCGAAGGCGGAUCUCUGGGCCUUACCUGACGCUGAGGCGCGAAAGCUAGGGGAGCGAACAGGAUUAGAUACCCUGGUAGUCCUAGCCGUAAACGUUGGGUGCUAGGUGUGGGCGGAUAUCGACCCCGUCCGUGCCGAAGCUAACGCAUUAAGCACCCCGCCUGGGGAGUACGGCCGCAAGGCUAAAACUCAAAGGAAUUGACGG
rnacentral:rRNA from 1 species